UACGGGGGAGCAAACGUUGUUCGGAAUCACUGGCGUAAAGGGCGUGUAGGCGGCUGGAUAAGUGGGAUGUUAAAUCCCCCGGCUCAACCGGGACCUGCAUCUCAUACUGUUCAGCUCGAGCACAUCAGAGGAGACUGGAAUUCCCGGUGUAGCGGUGAAAUGCGCAGAUAUCAGGAGGAACACCGGUGGCGAAGGCGGGUCUCCUGGGCCGAUACUGACGCUGAGGCACGAAGGCCAGGGAGCAAACGGG
rnacentral:rRNA from 1 species